rnacentral:rRNA from 1 species
CCUACGGGAGGCAGCAGUGAGGAAUUUUCCGCAAUGGGCGAAAGCCUGACGGAGCAAUACCGCGUGAGGGAUGAAGGAUUUUGGUCUGUAAACCUCUUUUCUCAAGAAAGAAGUUCUGACGGUACUUGAGGAAUAGGCAUCGGCUAACUCCGUGCCAGCAGCCGCGGUAAUACGGGGGAUGCAGGCGUUAUCCGGAAUGAUUGGGCGUAAAGCGCCUGUAGGUUGUUUAUUAAGUCCGUUGUUAAAGCCUAGGGCUCAACCCUAGAAAAGCAAUGGAAACUAGUAGACUAGAGUAUGGCAGGGGUAGAGGGAAUUUCUAGUGUAGCGGUGAAAUGCGUAGAUAUUAGAAAGAACACCGGUGGCGAAAGCGCUCUACUGGACCAUUACUGACACUCAGAGGCGAAAGCUAGGGUAGCAAAAGGGAUUAGAUACCCCUGUAGUCCUAGCCGUAAACGAUGGAUACUAGAUGUUGUGCAUUAUGUACAGUAUCGUAGCUAACGCGUUAAGUAUCCCGCCUGGGGAGUACGCUCGCAAGGGUGAAACUCAAAGGAAUUGACGG